rnacentral:rRNA from 1 species
AUUGAACGCUGGCGGCAGGCUUAACACAUGCAAGUCGAGCGGAGAUGAGGUGCUUGCACCUUAUCUUAGCGGCGGACGGGUGAGUAAUGCUUAGGAAUCUGCCUAUUAGUGGGGGACAACAUUCCGAAAGGAAUGCUAAUACCGCAUACGUCCUACGGGAGAAAGCAGGGGAGCUUCGGACCUUUCGCUAAUAGAUGAGCCUAAGUCGGAUUAGCUAGUUGGUGGGGUAAAGGCCUACCAAGGCGACGAUCUGUAGCGGGUCUGAGAGGAUGAUCCGCCACACUGGGACUGAGACACGGCGCAGACUCCGACGGGAGGCAGCAGUGGGGAAUAUUGGACAAUGGGCGGAAGCCUGAUCCAGCCAUGCCGCGUGUGUGAAGAAGGCCUGUUGGUUGUAAAGCACUUUAAGCGAGGAGGAGGCUCUUAAGGUUAAUACCCUUGAUGAGUGGACGUUACUCGCAGAAUAAGCACCGGCUAACUCUGUGCCAGCCGCCGCCGUAAAAC